rnacentral:rRNA from 1 species
GAUGAACGCUGGCGGCGUGCUUAACACAUGCAAGUCGAACGAGAAAUGGAGACGGAAACCUUCGGGCGGAAGGCUUCAUUUCGAGUGGCGGACGGGUGAGUAACGCGUGGGUAACCUGCCUCAUACAGGGGGAUAACAGUUGGAAACGACUGUUAAUACCGCAUAAGACCACAGCACCGCAUGGCGCGGGGGUAAAAACUCCGGUGGUAUGAGAUGGACCCGCGUUCGAUUAGCCAGUUGGCGGGGUAACGGCCCACCAAAGCGACGAUCGAUAGCCGAUCUGAGAGGAUGACCGGCCACAUUGGGACUGAGACACGGCCCAAACUCCUACGGGAGGCAGCAGUGGGGAAUAUUGCACAAUGGGGGAAACCCUGAUGCAGCGACGCCGCGUGAGUGAAGAAGUACUUCGGUAUGUAAAGCUCUAUCAGCAGGGAAGAAAAUGACGGUACCUGAGUAAGAAGCCCCGGCUAACUACGU